CAAUAGCGUAUAUUAGAGUUGUUGCGGUUAAAAAGCUCGUAGUUGGAGUUCUGCCAGGUGCCGCCUGUCCGCCCCAGUGGUGAGUACGUGGCGCGCAUUUGGCCCUUUCAAGGGGAGCGUAUCUGCACUUUAUUGUGUGGUGCGGGAUCCUUGACUUUUACUUUGAGGAAAUAGGAGUGUUCCAAGCAGGCUCUCGUCGUGCACAGCUCAGCAUGGAAUAAUAGCAUUGGACCUCGAUUCUAAGCUGUUGGUUGCCAGAAGCGAGGUAAUGAUGAAGAGGGAUAGUUGGGGGCAUUCGUAUUUAACUGUCAGAGGUGAAAUUCUUGGAUUUGUUCAAGACGGACUACUGCGAAAGCAUCUGCCAUGGAUGUUUUCAUUGA
rnacentral:rRNA from 1 species